rnacentral:tRNA from 1 species
GGGGAUAUAGCUUAUUUGGUAGAGUGCUUGCCUUGCAUGCACAAGGUAUGGGUUCAAUUCCCGGCACCACUA